GCCCGCUCAAGAAACUACAAAGGAAUUGACGGGACCCCGCACAAGCGGUGGAUCAUGUUGUUUAAUUCGAUGAUACGCGAAGAACCUUACCAGGUCUUGACAUCCCCCGCGAUGCUUUAGAGAUAAAGCGGAGGUAUUCGGGGAGACAGGUGGUGCAUGGUUGUCGUCAGCUCGUGUCGUGAGAUGUUGGGUUAAGUCCCGCAACGAGCGCAACCCCUAUUGCUAGUUACCAUCAUUAAGUUGGGGACUCUAGCGAGACUGCCAGUGAUAAACUGGAGGAAGGUGGGGAUGACGUCAAAUCAUCAUGCCCCUUAUGACCUGGGCUACAAACGUGAUACAAUGGCUGGAACAAAGGGAUGCGAAGCAGUGAUGUGGAGCGAAUCUCAAAAAGCCGGCCUCAGUUCGGAUUGGAGGCUGCAACUCGCCUCCAUGAAGUCGGAAUCGCUAGUAACCGCAGAUCAGCUACGUUGCGGUGAAUACGUUCCCGGGCCUU
rnacentral:rRNA from 1 species